rnacentral:rRNA from 1 species
CAGGUCAGAGAAGACUACCCGCUGGACUUAAGCAUAUCACUAAGCGGAGGAAAAGAAACUAACUAGGAUUCCCCCAGUAACUGCGAGUGAAGAGGGAAGAGCUCAUCAUUGGAAUCUGGCAGUGUUACACUGUCCGAGUUGUAGAUGAGGAGUAGUCCGUCUGGACUGCAUGGCGUCCAAGUACAAUAGGCCGUCAGUGGGACAUCAUAGAGGGUGACAAUCCCGUCCUUGACGCCAAUGUGCAAGUCUAUUACGAUGGCUAUCUCAGAGAGUCGAGCAGUUUGGGAUUUGCUGCUUAAACAUGGGAGGUAGAUUCCUUCUAAAGCUAAAUACAGGCGAGAGACCGAUAGAGAACAAGUACCGCAAGGGAAAGAUGAAAUAGCACUCUGUGAAGGGAGUCAAAAGGCGUGAAAUUGUUGCGAGAGAAGCGAUUCAAGUCAGCGUAGCUAGGCCCAUCAAGCGUCUUCGCUUUGGACUAGCUUUGCCAGCGGUCUUGUCCCUUAAAGAGACUUGACUUGUAAUAUGUCCAGCCUGGCGUGCACAGGCAGCCCCUUCUGGGGGCCAGUGGCAUGGCUGGUGGAAUGGCUUGCAAUCGACCCGUCUUGAAACACGGACCAAGGAGUCUAACAUGUAUGCGAGUAUAAGGGUGGCAAACCCGUAUGCGCAAUGAAAGUGAUUUUCGGUGAUUGAGAAUGGCCUGAUGACCAGACAAGCAAUAUAUGUCCCUCGUACGGCCAUUGCCCAAGUUCCGUGGUAGAUCCCACGAACAUGGAGUUGGAGCAUACAUGCUAGGACCCGAAAGAUGGUGAACUAUGCCUGGACAAAGCGAAGCCAAAGGAAACUCUGGUGGAGGCUUGUAGCGAUUCUGACGUGCAAAUCGAUCGUCUGAUCUGGGUAUAGGGGCGAAAGACUAAUCGAACCAUCUCAUAGCUGGUUCCUGCCGAAGUUCCCCUCAGGAUA